rnacentral:rRNA from 1 species
AUUGAACGCAGGCGGCAUGCCUUACACAUGCAAGUCGAACGGCAGCAUAGAAGAGCUUGCUCUUCUGAUGGCGAGUGGCGAACGGGUGAGUAAAGCAUCGGAACGUACCGUGUAGUGGGGGAUAACGUAGCGAAAGUUACGCUAAUACCGCAUACGCACUGAGGUGGAAAGCAGGGGAUCGCAAGACCUUGCGCUAUACGAGCGGCCGAUGUCAGAUUAGCUAGUUGGUAGGGUAAAGGCCUACCAAGGCGACGAUCUGUAGCGGGUCUGAGAGGAUGAUCCGCCACACUGGGACUGAGACACGGCCCAGACUCCUACGGGAGGCAGCAGUGGGGAAUUUUGGACAACGGGGGAAACCCUGAUCCAGCCAUGCCGCGUGAGUGAAGAAGGCCUUCGGGUUGUAAAGCUCUUUCGGCUGGGAAGAAAUCGCACAGGCUAAUACUCUGUGUGGAUGACGGUACCAGCACAAGAAGCACCGGCUAACUACGUGCCAGCCGCCGCGGUAA